AAAAUGUUUUGUUGCAUAAUGUUGUGCUUAUUUUCUUUUCACUGUUAUGAGCAUUUAAGCAAAACUUUGCACUUAAAAAAUAUAUAUAAAAAAAAUAAAAACGGAAGCGUAAAACGUUCGUUGGACAUUUUCGGACGCAGUUUUGCAUGGCGACGUUGCUAAAUGAACCGAGAGAAAAAAUUAUCCGAAAAAUACAAAAAAAAAUAAAGAAA